UCAAACUUGGUCAUUUAGAGGAAGUAAAAGUCGUAACAAGGUUUCCGUAGGUGAACCUGCGGAAGGAUCAUUAUUGAAUAAACUUGGUUGGGUUGUUGCUGGCUCCUUGGAGCAUGUGCACGCUCACUCCAUUUUUUUAACCACCUGUGCACCUUUUGUAGAUCUGGAUUGAAUACUUCUCGAGGAAACUCGGUUUGAGAAACUGCUGUCAAAGCUUUUCUUGUGUCCAGGUCUAUGUCUUUAAUAUACUCCAUAAGAAUGUAAUCGAAUGUUUAAUUUAAUAGGCAUUUCUUUUUUUGCCUUUAAUAAAAACAAAUACAACUUUCAACAACGGAUCUCUUGGCUCUCGCAUCGAUGAAGAACGCAGC
rnacentral:misc_RNA from 1 species